AGAGUUUGAUCCUGGCUCAGAUUGAACGCUGGCGGUAUGCUUUACACAUGCAAGUCGAACGGAUUAAGAAGCUUGCUUCUUAGUUAGUGGCGAACGGGUGAGUAAUAUAUCGGAACAUAUCCGGAAGUGGGGGAUAACGUAGCGAAAGUUACGCUAAUACCGCAUAUGCCCUGAGGGGGAAAGGGGGGGAUUCGUAAGAACCUCUCGCUUUCGGAGUGGCCGAUAUCGGAUUAGCUAGUAGGUGAGGUAAAGGCUCACCUAGGCGACGAUCCGUAGCUGGUCUGAGAGGACGACCAGCCACACUGGAACUGAGACACGGUCCAGACUCCUACGGGAGGCAGCAGUGGGGAAUUUUGGACAAUGGGCGAAAGCCUGAUCCAGCCAUACCGCGUGAGUGAAGAAGGCCUUCGGGUUGUAAAGCUCUUUCAGCCGGAACGAAACGGUAUGUCUUAAUACGAUGUGCUAAUGACGGUACCGGCAGAAGAAGCACCGGCUAACUACGUGCCAGCAGCCGCGGUAAUAC
rnacentral:rRNA from 1 species